rnacentral:rRNA from 1 species
AGGAUGAACGCUAGCGGCAGGCUUAAUACAUGCAAGUCGAGGGGCAGCAGGGUGUAGCAAUACAUCGCUGGCGACCGGCAAACGGGUGAGGAACACGUGCGCAACCUCCCUUCAAGUGAGGAAUAGCCCAGGGAAACUUGGAUUAAUACCUCGUAACAUUAUGAGAUGGCAUCAUUUUAUAAUUAAAGUUCCGACGCUUGAAGAUGGGCGUGCGUCUGAUUAGGUAGUUGGCGGAGUAACAGCCCACCAAGCCUGCGAUCAGUAACUGGUGUGAGAGCACGACCAGUCACACGGGCACUGAGACACGGGCCCGACUCCGUACGGGAGGCAGCAGUAAGGAAUAUUGGUCAAUGGACGCAAGUCUGAACCAGCCAUGCCGCGUGGAGGAUGAAGGUCCUCUGGAUUGUAAACUUUCUUUUAUUGGAAGAACCCAUAGUUUUCUAAUAUGGUUGACGUACAGAUAGAAUAAGCAACCGGCUAACUCCGCG